AGUGGGGAUUACCUUGGCUUCGUCGGAGAUGGAAUGAGUGAGUACGCAAUGGAUAUCUCAAAAACUCAUGGAUGGAUUCAGACGAAACUUGGUGGACAGGUCGGGUGUUACAAGGAAGAAUCGAUUCAAUUUUGGUGAAGAUCCGCAUCCGAUAAUUUAAGGUGUACAUGAUCCUAUUGCUUGUAGGACUCGGAUGUAUUCUUCUUUUUUAAAGAAAAGACAUCACCUUCAUAUCAGCAACAUGAACAUUGGGAGAUGUCCACAUUCUUUUACAUGUACCAGAAGGACAUCAAGCGAGACCAGUUUCAAAUCUUGUGCAGGCACGGCAACUUGCUAGUACACCACAACCUGUUGAAUUUCAUUUACGCUUGCGCAGAGUGAGAAACUCUCCCGUAAAACUCACUGCCGUGGAUCCCAAGGCCUCGUGGAAUGUAAGGUCGCACUCUUUCGUCGUUUUACAGUCAGUGGAGGAGCGAAGCACAAAGACUCGAUCACACCGUGGGUCAUGGAUUUUUGAACAGAGGGUCAUCGUGAAUCGGAAGGAAAAAAACAAAAAAUGCUCAUGUGAUGAUACCUAGCAGGUGUCUGCAACCUUUGUCUCGUCUUCCGUGAUGUAAUUUUCUCAUUAAAUCAUCUCUUCCAGCUCCUACUUUCCUCGCUUUUAUCAGUUACCUCGUCUUCCUAUUUUGUUUUUUAAUCCUCCUUUUUCUUUCAUUCUCCUUUCUCCAAGGGUCCCUUCUCUUCCCUCAAGCAAUCAUUUACUCUGCCAUCCACUUGCCAGGUGCAUUCACUCGGUUGUUCCUCCAUACGAAGAUCCCUUGUGACUGAUACAAAAAAAAAAAAAAUCUAUUUUUUGCCGGAAACAGGUUGUUCUUUAAACCCAAGACCAAAGCUUUGGAUUCCCAGAUCGUGUUUGUUUUUCUCCUCACAUCCUCAGAAGUCUUCAUCUCCCUCCCGCUUGAACCAUCUUGGCAAUCGCCGGGUGUUGUGCCGCGGACCUCGGAACGAAAUGUGCGCAUCUCUGUGAUUUGGCAGGGGUUCACCGCCUUGGCCCAUUCAUCGAUAAAUAGAUAAUGGCAUGGAAUGCAGUGGUACAGCUUGGACCUGACAUUUCCAUUUUGCUUCUGAUUUAAGCUGAGGCCAAACAGACUCAGCACGUGACCCCGG
rnacentral:lncRNA from 1 species